rnacentral:lncRNA from 1 species
AAGGAUGGUGGCGGGCACCUGUAAUCUCAGCUACUCAGGAAGCUGAGACAGGAGAAUCACUUGAACCUGGGAGGCGGAGGUUGCAGUGAGCCGAGAUCGCGCCACUGCAUUCCAGCCUGGGCGACAGGCAGAGCGAGACUCCAUCUCAAAAAAAAAAAAUUGCCAAAGAGAUAGUGGAGAUUUAGGAGAGAAGGCAUAUAUUAGGCCUCUAGGGGAGUGGGAGAGGGAGUAGACAAGGUUUCUGUAGAAGGAUUUGCCAGUCCCACGGGAGGUUAGAGGUUUUGGAUCUAACUACAAACCAGUAGAGUGGUAUGUUUUCCUCCAAACUUGUUUAGCUGUGUAGCUGCCGGCAGAGUGGGCCCAGACAUGGAUUUAACUAUUGUGAUUUUGUCAAGCAAGUAGUAUAAAGAGGAAGGGGCAAUAUCUUUUGUAAAUGCCCAGGAAUUACUUAGUUGCAUGUUUUAGUAUAAACAGUAACUGCUAUAAUUGUGGUUUUAAUUAGCUUAUUUUGUAAAACCUUAUACAUCAUAUCCAAAAGCUCUGUUGUACGUUUUUGUUUUUUUGUUUUGUUUUUUAUUUUUUUGAGAUGGAGUCUUGCUCUGUCACCCAGGCUGGAGUGCAGUGGCGCCAUCUCGACUCACUGCAAGCUCCGCCUCCCGGGUUCACGCCAUUCGUCGGCCUCAGCCUCCCCAGUAGCUGGGACAACAGGCGCCUGCCACCACAUCCAGCUAAUGUUUUGUAUUUUUAGUAGAGACAGGGUUUCACUGUGUUAGCCAGGAUGGUCUCGAUCUCCUGACCUCGUUAUCUGCCCGCCUCGGCCUCCCAAAGUGCUGGGAUUACAGGCGUCAGCCACCGAGCCCGGCCCCAACUUAAGUUUUACAGACAUUGAACCCCCACUUUCUGCCAAGAGCCUGCAAAUACUACCACAUUUACUGUUUACAACAAUUCUGAAAAGUAGAGAAUAGCUCCAUAGUUAACUUCUAAGAAGCUGAGGCUUGGGACAAUUUGCUCUAAGUUAAACAGCUACUAAUCAAGCCCUGACUAACAAUUGUCUUUAGCUCCCCUCUCAUCUCCCCUUCCUUCAAUAUUAAUAACAACUAACAUUUAUGUACUUUGCAUUAUCAUGUAACAACCACAGUGAGGCUGUUAUCUCCAUUUUACAUCUGAGGACGCUGAGGCACAGAGAAAUUAAGUGAUUUGCUUGAAAUCACACAACUAGUUUUCAUUGGGACCUGAAUUUGAAGCCAGGCAAUUUUAACUCUGAAUCUUGGAAGAAAUUAUCUGAAAAUGUGUUACUGUAGGAGGUGAGGGUGCUUUUAAGAAACAGCAGGACCAAAGCCUUCAGAGCUACCAGGGCGUGACAUCUGCAUCACCCCUUCCACAGGUAACAGCCUGGUCACAAAUCCUGUAGCUCCUGGCUGCAUGUUUGGCUCUUAACUUGCUUGGUUUUGAGCUCUGGUGUUCUCUUCCUCCUCUGCAGCUCAGGGCUUUUCUUAGAAUAAAAAAAGAUACAUCUGACCACUCCGCUAGCCAGUUGCAGUCUGACCAGCUUCUGCUGUUUUGGCCUAAUUCUCCCCUGAUAUGUUUAAACCAGAUCAUUAUGAUAAUUCUUCAGUGUUAAAUGAAGGAUUAAUUGGAACUGCCUACUGUCUUAGUGUCAGCAGAGUCAAAUAGUGGAUGUUUCAGAGACUUAGACAACUCUUGUAUUUGUCUUACAUACCACAGCAGAGGCCAGUAGUUACUGGCUUCUGGUGUCUAUAUGGUAAGCUCAGAUAUUUUCAUUUGCUAGUAACAUCUUUCAAUAGUUUAUCUUUUCUGAGUUAAAAUUCAGUUAGGCUUUAAAUAUUUAUGUCAACUACAGGGUGUUGCUCUGAAGUAAUUUCAUUUGUCCAUUGGGUGUUUAUCAAUGCCUGUGGAGUAUGAGGUAGAGGCAGAUGGUGUGGAGUCCCUGCCCUUAGAGUUCAUGGUCUGAUGGGCUGGGGCUUGAAACAUGGAGUGGUGAAAACGCAGUGCCAGAGGUCAGGCCAUUCCCGAAAGAUCUAGUUCAGCGCCAUUUCACAGAUUUAUAUUUAGCUUUUGCAUCUGUUCUUCCCUUGGUUUUAAGAUGAGUUUCUCCAGUCCCUUACCCGGUUCCCAUCAAGCCAUGUUGGCUAAUGGUAGGAGGAUAAUUAGGGCAGGUGGUGAGCAGAGUGGAGGAAGGGAAGACUUAAUGGGACAAAGCCUUUGCUCCAGCACAGUCAGCUCUCUCUGGGGACAGAAAGCGGAAAUAAAUUCACAGCUGGGAUAGCUGAGGCUAGGACUCAGCAGCAGGAUUCUUUGUGAGCAGGUAGUAAGAAUUUUAGUUUAAAACUGCCCCUAAUCACUUUUGAUUUUGGGGCAGACCAAAGUAAAGAUUCUGGUUGGCAGAGAUUGGCUACGUCUGAGUUCUGAUCUUGCCUUUGUCCCAUCUUAACCAUAUGAUUUGGGGAAGCUACUGUUUAUCAUUCCUGUACCUCAGUUUCUUCUAUAAGAGAUUAUCCGACUUUCCACAGUUGUAUUGAGGAUUAAAUAAGUUUAAGUGCCUAACACAGGGUUGGCAUAAUACAUGGCAUAUAGCAGGUGCUUGAUAAAAGUUAUUUCUCUUCCCUCUGUGGAGAUCUGCUGCUCAGUGCUAGGAAAGAUUCUCCCCAAGCACCUGGAAAUAGUGGAGGAGGUGACAGCAGUGAGCUCAUUUAAUCGUCUUUCUGCAGUCACAGACCUCACUCAUAGAAAAAAGCUGCCAUGAUCUUUGUCCACUCAUUGGCAUUUGGUUUUCUAGCUUAACUUUGAAGGGCUACAAAUAUAUGUACAAUUUAAACUGGAUGACAAUAUUUUACUUUGCCUCUUCCCCAGAAAAGUUUAGCCAGCUUAAAAAAUUGCAUACAAUGCAAAAGGAUAACAUGAAUGUUUGAGAGAAUGAAGGCAAAGGAGAAGCCACAAUAGAAAAAUAAUGCAGGGGUAAGAUGAGCUCAGCUCUGUAGGCUCGCUCCUAACACUGAUCCUCUGCUGGAGUCACUCUGGCUGGCCUGCUAUUCUGUGAAAAUGCCGGGCACCCUUCUGCCUGUUCUUGCUCUUGCCUCUGCCAGGGACACUUUUGAAGAUAACUGCGUGACUUCCCGCCUCCCUCACUCAGGGCUCUUCUGACAAGCCACACUCCCUGCCUCUGCCCCUUCCCUGUCUCUUUCUCCUCUGAUUUGUCUUUUUUUUUUUUUUUUUUAAGACAGAGUUUCGCUCUUGUUGCCCAGGCUGGAGUGCAACGGCACGAUCUCCGCUCACCACAACCUCCGCCUCCUGGGUUCAAGCAAUUCUCC